GCCGCCGGCCGCCAAGUCUCGUGGCGCCCUGAGCGAGGGUCUCUCCCCAACACCGCCACCUCGAACUGCGUUCUCCCGGCUCCCCGAGCCAGCCAGCGGCAGCUUCCCGGGCGCUCUUCCCGACUCUGCCUCCGAAGAAGAAGAAGAAGAAGAAGAAGCCCCCGCCGAGGUGCAUCCCAAAAGUUGGACGACGACGGGUCUCGGAAGCAGCCCGCCUCCGCCACUGCCGGCACUCGGAGCCGUCCAAAGCGCUACCGGCGAGGCUUUCCUAACCUUCUCCUGCACCGCUCGCGGCUCAAAAAGAAAGCGUCGUGUGAUGGGCUGCUGUUAAGACACGGAGUGGGAACCUGUGAGCCUUCGAGAUGUUGUGGAACCACAACUGCCAUCACCCUCAACCAGCUGGCAAGGGUGAACAAACCCAAAGGCCAACCAUUUCUGGAAGGCCAAAAGUACAGCCUUUCCCUGCCUGCAACGAGAAGCUGCAAAAUAUAUUUGCGUGUAUAAGGAGCUAAAGUGAUGUGUAAGCUGCCACCUUAAAGAAUGCCUUAUUUCCAUUUGUUCUGCAAUUUCUAAACUACCCUUCAUCAAGGAGAUCCACAGAAUCAAUCGAUCACAGAAUCAAACUACAGCAGAAAUUGAUGCAAGAAAAAGGAAAAGAUACGCCACACUUCACCGGAAGACAACGGGGCGGUUGACAGCAUAGUAAGCAGCAUAUAGCAGCCAUACAAAGCAAGUGCUUAAAAACAAUUACCUCAGCGCAGCUCACAAUAAAGCAGAAGCAUAAAAUGGUUCGUAAAUUCAUUCCAUCGUCGCAGUUCCCUCACCCCAAAGGUUGACAAAAGAGGUGUGUCUUAACUCACAAUGCAGGUAAGCACACCACAAUGGGCACCGCAUUCCACAGUCGUGGACCCACCACAGAGGGAAAAAACACACAUUUGAUUGGGCCUGGAAAACAACUGGCAACCAGGGUAGUUAUUUCUAAAUCAGAGUUAUAUCUCCUCAGCCCACAUCUCCUGUCAACAUGGGCCAUUGCAUUUUGCAAUGUCUUCAAGGGCAGUCUCACACAGGGUGAAUUGCAGUAGUCUAGAUUGGAGGGUACCAGAGCAUAGGUGUCUGAAGGCAGGCUAUAUGGGGAAGGUCACAGCUGGCACAGCAUCGGAAGCUGGGCAUAGGUAUUCCUAGUCACAGAGGCCAACCACAUUAUAAAUAAGUGCAUUUUGGCCACUAUACCCUCAGGACCACACUGGGGUGUGUAUGUUUGGACUCAGUGGAUUAUGUGGAAGUCAAAGGAAUCCUUUUAUUUGGUGGUUGAAAGGAGACCAGAUGACUGGUUUUUGUUUUUUUUAAUCUACUUUUAAAAAAAAAUACAGAGCAAGUAAUGUUGUACAGUAAUACUUUGGUUCGCUGAAGAAUUGAUGCUUUUGAAUUAUGGUGCUGGAUGAGUCUCUUGAGA